GAUGAACGCUGGCGGCGUGCCUAAUACAUGCAAGUCGAGCGAACGGACGAGAAGCUUGCUUCUCUGAUGUUAGCGGCGGACGGGUGAGUAACACGUGGAUAACCUACCUAUAAGACUGGGAUAACUUCGGGAAACCGUAGCUAAUACCGGAUAAUAUUUUGAACCGCAUGGUUCAAAAGUAAAAGACGGUCUUGCGGUCACUUAUAGAUGGAUCCGCGCUGCAUUAGCUAGUUGGUAAGGUAACGGCUUACCAAGGCAACGAUGCAUAGCCGACCUGAGAGGGUGAUCGGCCACACUGGAACUGAGACACGGUCCAGAGGCCUACGGGAGGAAGCAGUAGGGAAUCUUCCGCAAUGGGCGAAAGCCUGACGGAGCAACGCCGCGUGAGUGAUGAAGGUCUUCGGAUCGUAAAACUGUGUUAUUAGGGAAGAACAUAUGUGUAAGGAACUGUGCCCAUCUUGACGGUACCUAAUCAGAAAGCCACGGCUAACUACGUG
rnacentral:rRNA from 1 species